rnacentral:rRNA from 1 species
UUCGCAAUGCCCGAAAGGGUGACGAAGCGACGCCGCGUGCGGGAAGAAGGCCUUCGGGUUGUAAACCGCUGUCGGGAGUUAAGAAAUGUAAGGAUGUUAAUAGCAUCUUUGCUUGACUAAGGCUCCGGAGGAAGCCACGGCUAACUCUGUGCCAGCAGCCGCGGUAAUACAGAGGCGGCAAGCGUUGUUCGGAAUUAUUGGGCGUAAAGAGCACGUAGGCGGCUAUGUAAGUCGGUUGUGAAAGCCUUCCGCUCAACGGGAGAACAGCAUCCGAUACUGCAUGGCUUGAGUGCGGGAGGGGAGAGUGGAACUUCUGGUGGAGCGGUGAAAUGCGUAGAUAUCAGAAGGAACGCCGGCGGCGAAAGCGGCUCUCUGGCCCCUAACUGACGCUGAGUGUGCGAAAGCUAGGGGAGCAAACGGGAUUAGAUACCCCGGUAGUCCUAGCCGUAAACGAUGGGCACUAAGUAGAGGGGUUUU